rnacentral:miRNA from 1 species
UCAGUGGGUUAUCUGAGUUGGGGACUUGGUAUGACGUCUGCUACCUUGAUACCCCACCAG